GAUGAACGCUGGCGGCGUGCUUAACACAUGCAAGUCGAACGGAAAGGCUCCUGCUUGCAGGGGUACUCGAGUGGCGAACGGGUGAGUAACACGUGGGUGAUCUGCCCUGCACUUCGGGAUAAGCCUGGGAAACUGGGUCUAAUACCGGAUAGGACGAUGGUUUGGAUGCCAUUGUGGAAAGUUUUUCGGUGUGGGAUGAGCUCGCGGCCUAUCAGCUUGUGGGUGGGGUAAUGGCCUACCAAGGCGUCGACGGGUAGCCGGCCUGAGAGGGUGUACGGCCACAUUGGGACUGAGAUACGGCCCAGACUCCUACGGGAGGCAGCAGUGGGGAAUAUUGCACAAUGGGCGCAAGCCUGAUGCAGCGACGCCGCGUGGGGGAUGACGGCCUUCGGGUUGUAAACUCCUUUCGCUAGGGACGAAGCGCAAGUGACGGUACCUGGAGAAGAAGCACCGGCUAACUACGUG
rnacentral:rRNA from 1 species